AGCAUUAUACAGCGAAACUGCGAAUGGCUCAUUAUAUAAGUUAUCGUUUAUUUGAUAGUACCUUACUACUUGGAUAACCGUGGUAAUUCUAGAGCUAAUACAUGCUAAAAAUCCCGACUUACGAAGGGAUGUAUUUAUUAGAUUAAAAACCAAUGCCCUUCGGGGCUCACUGGUGAUUCAUAAUAACUUCUCGAAUCGCAUGGCCUUGCGCCGGCGAUGGUUCAUUCAAAUUUCUUCCCUAUCAACUUUCGAUGCUAGAGUAGUGUUCUAGCAUGGUUACAACGGGUAACGGAGGGUUAGGGCUCGACCCCGGAGAAGGAGCCUGAGAAACGGCUACUACAUCCAAGGAAGGCAGCAGGCGCGCAAAUUACCCAAUCCCGACACGGGGAGGUAGUGACGAUAAAUACUGAUACAGGGCUCUUUUGGGUCUUGUAAUUGGAAUGAGUACAAUUUAAAUCCCUUAACGAGGAACAAUUGGAGGGCAAGUCUGGUGCCAGCAGCCGCGGUAAUUCCAGCUCCAAUAGCGUAUAUUAAAGUUGUUGUGGUUAAAAAGCUCGUAGUAGAACCUUGGGCCUGGCUGGCCGGUCCGCCUCACCGCGUGCACUGGUCCGGCCGGGCCUUUCCCCCUGUGGAACCUCAUGCCCUUCACUGGGUGUGUGGGAAAACAGGACUUUUACUUUGAAAAAAUUAGAGUGCUCCAGGCAGGCCUAUGCUCGAAUACAUUAGCAUGGAAUAAUAGAAUAGGACGUGUGGUUCUAUUUUGUUGGUUUCUAGGACCGCCGUAAUGAUUAAUAGGGACAGUCGGGGGCAUCAGUAUUCAAUUGUCAGAGGUGAAAUUCUUGGAUUUAUUGAAGACUAACUACUGCGAAAGCAUUUGCCAAGGAUGUUUUCAUUUAUCAGGAACGAAAGUUAGGGGAUCGAAGACGAUCAGAUACCGUCGUAGUCUUAACCAUAAACUAUGCCGACUAGGGAUCGGACGAUGUUAUUUUUUGACUCGUUCGGCACCUUACGAGAAAUCAAAGUGCU
rnacentral:rRNA from 1 species